UACGGAGGGUGCAAGCGUUAUCCGGAUUCACUGGGUUUAAAGGGUGUGUAGGCGGGUAUUUAAGUCAGUGGUGAAAUCUCCGGGCUCAACCCGGAAACUGCCAUUGAUACUAUUUAUCUUGAAUCUUGUUGAGGUAGGCGGAAUAUAUCAUGUAGCGGUGAAAUGCUUAGAUAUGAUAUAGAACACCGAUUGCGAAGGCAGCUUACUAAACAGGCAUUGACGCUGAGGCACGAAAGUGUGGGGAUCAAACAGG
rnacentral:rRNA from 1 species